GGUUUCGACAGUGAAUCGGUAUGGUUUGACCUGCGGAAGGAUCAUUG
rnacentral:rRNA from 1 species